UAACUAGUAUUCCCCUAGUAACGGCGAGCGAAGCGGGAAUAGCUCAAAUUUGAAAUCUCCGGUGCCUGCACCGGCGAAUUGUAGUCUAUAGGGCCAGUUUCGCCCGACGCGGUGUCCCCAAAGUCGUCCUGGAAAGGCGGGCCGGAGAGGGUGAGAGCCCCGUGUGUGGGGGCACUGCGGAAGGUAAGAUCUGUGCCCAAAGAGUCGGGUUGUUUGGGAUUGCAGCCCAAAAUGGGUGGUAAACUCCAUCUAAAGCUAAAUACUGGCACGAGACCGAUAGCGAACAAGUACCGUGAGGGAAAGAUGAAAAGCACUUUGAAAAGAGAGUCAAACAGUACGUGAAACC
rnacentral:rRNA from 1 species